AGAGUUUGAUCCUGGCUCAGGAUGAACGCUGGCGGCGUGCUUAACACAUGCAAGUCGAACGAACCUUCGGGUUAGUGGCGGACGGGUGAGUAACGCGUGGGAAUCUGCCCUCAGGAGGGGGAUAACGGCUGGAAACGGCCGCUAAUACCCCAUAUGCCGAGAGGUGAAAAGAAAUUCGCCUGAGGAUGAGCCCGCGUCUGAUUAGCUAGUUGGUGGGGUAAGAGCUCACCAAGGCACGAUCAGUAGCUGGUCUGAGAGGAUGAUCAGCCACACUGGGACUGAGACACGGCCCAGACUCCUACGGGAGGCAGCAGUGGGGAAUUUUCCGCAAUGGGCGAAAGCCUGACGGAGCAACGCCGCGUGAGGGAUGAAGGCCUCUGGGCUGCAAACCUCUUUUCUCAAGGAAGAAGACAUGACGGUACUUGAGGAAUAAGCCACGGCUAAUUCCGUGCCAGCAGCCGCGGUAAUACGGGAGUGGCAAGCGUUAUCCGGAAUUAUUGGGCGUAAAGCGUCCGCAGGCGGCCCUGUAAGUCUGUCGUUAAAGCGUGGAGCUUAACUCCAUUUAAGCGAUGGAAACUACAGGGCUUGAGUGUGGUAGGGGCAGAGGGAAUUCCCGGUGUAGCGGUGAAAUGCGUAGAUAUCGGGAAGAACACCAGUGGCGAAGGCGCUCUGCUGGGCCAUAACUGACGCUCAUGGACGAAAGCCAGGGGAGCGAAAGGGAUUAGAUACCCCUGUAGUCCUGGCCGUAAACGAUGAACACUAGGUGUCGGGGGAAUCGACCCCCUCGGUGUCGUAGCCAACGCGUUAAGUGUUCCGCCUGGGGAGUACGCACGCAAGUGUGAAACUCAAAGGAAUUGACGGGGGCCCGCACAAGCGGUGGAGUAUGUGGUUUAAUUCGAUGCAACGCGAAGAACCUUACCAGGGUUUGACAUCCUGCGAAUCCCUUGGAAACGAGGGAGUGCCUUCGGGAGCGCAGAGACAGGUGGUGCAUGGCUGUCGUCAGCUCGUGUCGUGAGAUGUUGGGUUAAGUCCCGCAACGAGCGCAACCCACGUCUUUAGUUGCCAGCAUUCAGUUGGGCACUCUAGAGAGACCGCCGGUGAUAAACCGGAGGAAGGUGUGGAUGACGUCAAGUCAUCAUGCCCCUUACAUCCUGGGCUACACACGUACUACAAUGCUACGGACAAAGGGCAGCAAGCUCGCGAGAGUUAGCAAAUCCCAUAAACCGUGGCUCAGUUCAGAUCGUAGGCUGCAACUCGCCUACGUGAAGGAGGAAUCGCUAGUAAUCGCAGGUCAGCAUACUGCGGUGAAUACGUUCCCGGGCCUUGUACACACCGCCCGUCACACCAUGGAAGUUGGCCAUGCCCGAAGUCGUUACUCCAACCCAU
rnacentral:rRNA from 1 species